rnacentral:rRNA from 1 species
UACGGAGGGUGCAAGCGUUGUCCGGAAUCACUGGGCGUAAAGGGCGCGUAGGCGGCUCAUGAAGGCUGUGGUGAAAGUCCGGGGCUCAACCUCGGAUCGGCCGUGGCGACUCGUGGGCUGGAGCACUGUAGAGGCGGGUGGAAUUCCGGGUGUAGCGGUGAAAUGCGCAGAUAUCAGGAGGAACACCGGUGGCGAAGGCGGUUCUCUGGGCGAUGUCCUGACGCUGAGGAGCGAAAGUGUGGGGAGCGAACAGG